UGGGGAAUAUUGCACAAUGGGCGCAAGCCUGAUGCAGCCAUGCCGCGUGUGUGAAGAAGGCCUUCGGGUUGUAAAGCACUUUCAGCGAGGAGGAAGGUGGUGAACUUAAUACGUUCAUCAAUUGACGUUACUCGCAGAAGAAGCACCGGCUAACUCCGUGCCAGCAGCCGCGGUAAUACGGAGGGUGCAAGCGUUAAUCGGAAUUACUGGGCGUAAAGCGCACGCAGGCGGUUUGUUAAGUCAGAUGUGAAAUCCCCGGGCUCAACCUGGGAACUGCAUUUGAAACUGGCAAGCUAGAGUCUCGUAGAGGGGGGUAGAAUUCCAAGUGUAGCGGUGAAAUGCGUAGAGAUUUGGAGGAAUACCAGUGGCGAAGGCGGCCCCCUGGCACAAUACUGACGCUCAGGUGCGAAAGCGUGGGGAGCAAAACAGGAUUAGAUACCCUGGUAGUCCACGCCGUAAACGAUGUCUACUAGAUGUUCGUGGUCUUGUACCGUGAGUAUCGCAGCUAACGCAUUAAGUAGACCGCCUGGGGAGUACGGUCGCAAGAUUAAAAACUCAAAGGAAUUGACGGGGGUCAUAGCUGUUUCCU
rnacentral:rRNA from 1 species